UGCCCGCCCACCUCCACGUGGCGGCCCAAUCCGAAUGCGCCCGCCAGGCCACGCCCCUGGCUCCUCCUCCACGCCCGGAGGCAAGACACAAACAAGCGGCCUGCUGCAGCCCCUCACAAAGAGAGCACGUUGCGCAGGCGCGUCCAACGGGUUCUUCGGUAGAGUGUCCCAUGAACAAUGAAGUUCGACUUGUGCCUCACCUCCCUUGCAGCAAUCCCUUGGGGUAGCCUGGGGGUGGGGCAGGGUAGGAAGAGGAGAGAGGCGGUGGAGGAACUAGGAAGCUGCUGACCUCAAGAAAGGACUGCUUUAUACUGCCAGGCAUGCUUUCCCAGACACUCUGGGAGUUCACUCUCCUCUGAAGCUGUCUGCCUCUUUCUGCUCUGUGGCCGCUUACAAAAAGACAUUUUUGUCUCCUUCUUUACCCUUCUCUCUCUAGGCAGCUGCUGAGAUUCACACCAAGCCUGCUUACGGUCUUUGGAAAACACAAAACUCUAAUAAACUUAAUUCUCAAGCUUC